rnacentral:tRNA from 1 species
GGUCCCAUCGUCUAGAGGCCCAGGACGCGGCCCUCUCACGGCCGAAACACGGGUUCGACUCCCGUUGGGACCGCAA